rnacentral:rRNA from 1 species
GACGUAGGGGCGAGCGUUGUCCGGAAUUACUGGGCGUAAAGCGCGUGCAGGCGGCCUGGUAAGUCCCGAUGUAAAAGCCUACGGACUCAACCGUAGGAGGCCGCGGGAUACUGUCGGCUAGAGGGCAGGAGAGGGAAGUGGAAUUCCCGGUGUAGCGGUGGAAAUGACGUAGAUAUCGGGAGGAACGCCAGUGGCGAAGGCGGCUUCCUGGCCUGUCCCUGACGCUGAGACGCGAAAGCUGGGGGAGCGAACGGG